AGUUGUAUUUUAAAGUACAAGAAGACAUGGAAUUAUGAAGUAGAUACCUUUCUUUGGGUUGUCAGUGCCACCAUUCUCUGAGAUACUCAGCACCUUCACAAGGACUCAAGUCUGGCCAAGGAAAGCAUCCUACCCCGAAACCUCCAGCCCCAGACAAGCAUACCAAGCUGUAGAACUUCUCAACCUUUUAUAUCCUGAAAAACAUCACCAGUUUAUGGACCACUCUCGUCUUGAGGAGAUGUUGACCUGUCUGUACUGUGCACAAGUCGGCCACAAGAAGAAACAAGAGGAAAGAUGAAGUUUGAUUUAAAAUCCAUGUAAGGGGACUUCCCUGGUGGCGCAGCGGAUUGCCUGCCAAUGCAGGGGACACAGUUUCGAGCCCUGGUCUGGGAAGAUCCCACAUGCCGCGGAGCAACUAGGCCCGUGCGCCACAACUACUGAGCCCUCGUGCCACAACUACUGAAGCCCACGCGCCUAGAGCCCAUGCUCCGCAACAAGAGAAGCCACCACAAUGAGAAGCCCGCGCACCGCAACUAGAGAAAGCCCGCGCGCAGCAAUGAAGACCCAACGCAGCCAAAAAAUAAAUAAAUAAAUUUAUUUUAAAAAAUCCAUAUAAGGUAAUAAUGAACCAUAUGACAAAGAAGUUUUUGUGUACAUUUGAUUCAAGUUAAUUAUGCCUGAUUUAGGUUUCUUCUACAGUGACCAGAUAGGAAUCCUAUUUGAAAGUAAUCCAUUAGUAUAUAACUUGUAAUACCUAGCCAAAAUUGCUAUCUAAUUAUUUUGGUAACAUUCUUAAUUCAUCCUGUGAAUAUUGCACUACCUUUUAGAACCACAUAUUUUUAACACCACAGUAUUUUUAAAGAAAUAUUUCCUCACUUUUUUUUUUUUAAAUAGUGUCUAUAUUAUCAUUGCAGGCUCUCUUUUUCUAACAGUGGUAUGCUAUCUCAGUGAAUGCUUCUGUUAGUGCCACUUAACUAAUUGUUAUGGUAAACUUAAGUCCAA